CACGUAGGGUGCGAGCGUUGUCCGGAAUUAUUGGGCGUAAAGAGCUCGUAGGCGGUGUGUCGCGUCGGCCGUGAAAACCUGCAGCUUAACUGUGGGCUUGCGGUCGAUACGGGCAUCACUGGAGUUCGGCAGGGGAGACUGGAAUUCCCGGUGUAGCAGUGAAAUGCGUAGAUAUCGGGAGGAAUACCGAUGGCGAAGGCAGGUCUCUGGGCUGACACUGACGCUCAUGCACGAAAUCGUGGGGAGCAAACAGG
rnacentral:rRNA from 1 species